GGCUUGGUAGCCUAGUGGUUAAAGUGCUUGGCAUGUAUCUGUAUACAUCUGGGGGCCUGGGUUCAAAUCUCGGUUGGUUA